rnacentral:rRNA from 1 species
UACAGAGGUCCCAAGCGUUGUUCGGAUUCACUGGGCGUAAAGGGUGCGUAGGCGGUUGGGUAAGUCUGUCGUGAAAUCUCCGAGCCUAACUCGGAAACUGCGUCGGAUACUAUUCAACUCGAGGAAUGGAGGGGAGACUGGAAUUCUCGGUGUAGCAGUGAAAUGCGUAGAUAUCGGGAGGAACACCUGUGGCGAAAGCGGCGCACUGGACCACAACUGACGCUGAGGCGCGAAAGCUAGGGGAGCAAACAGG